CCGUAACGAACGAGUGUCUGGUCUGCAGUGUCAGCGGGGCUGUGGCUGAGAGAGCCCGGCUGGCAGCUGCGCACGACGCCCACGUCACAGCUCCGUGAGCCGCUGACUUCCACAGCUGUGCCGGACAGCUGCGGUGGACGCGGGCCUCCAGGUCAGCGCCUCCGCACCACGUGAAGCCGUGGCUCUUCGCUUUUCUGCCUCGGGGCUUUCUCGGAAACACCUGUGCAGGCGCUGCGGGCGAUUGUUCAGGCAUGAACACCUGGAGGCAGCUCUCCAUCAGUGUCCAACGUCCCUGUUCAGCGGGACAGUUCUGGGGGCCUUCUGUACAGUUCCUCUGCAUGUCCCCAGACGGACUCGGUCUUAGUUGCCUACACUGGUAACCCCCUGGUGCAGCAGGCACUUACUGACCUAGGGCCAUCACCCGCUGAUUGAGGGUUGCCCGAGGGUUGUCAAUACCUCUGCCAAUUCCGGCUGUGUCUGUUGCUGGACUUCAGAGAAAGCAAAGACACUACCACCUGAGCUUGAGGUUUGGAAUGCUGGAUAUAUUCCUGUGUGGAUGUGAUAUCUGGAAGGAAGGUCAUUAUAUUAAUACCACCUUGGGGAUGAAGCCAAAAAAUGGAGGAGUGCUGAGUCAAAUAAAUCUCAAGAAAAUGGAGCUCGGAAAACCAGACGAAGUCUGUCCCAAGUGAGAGAGCACAAGCAGAGAAAGCAGCAGGUAGAAGGAGAGGGAGAAGCUGGUGCCCC